rnacentral:rRNA from 1 species
UGCAGUCGAACGGUAACAGGUCUUCGGAUGCUGACGAGUGGCGAACGGGUGAGUAAUACAUCGGAACGUGCCUAGUAGUGGGGGAUAACUACUCGAAAGAGUAGCUAAUACCGCAUGAGAUCUACGGAUGAAAGCAGGGGACCUUCGGGCCUUGUGCUACUAGAGCGGCUGAUGGCAGAUUAGGUAGUUGGUGGGGUAAAGGCUUACCAAGCCUGCGAUCUGUAGCUGGUCUGAGAGGACGACCAGCCACACUGGGACUGAGACACGGCCCAGACUCCUACGGGGGGCAGCAGUGGGGAAUUUUGGACAAUGGGCGAAAGCCUGAUCCAGCAAUGCCGCGUGCAGGAUGAAGGCCCUCGGGUUGUAAACUGCUUUUGUACGGAACGAAAAGCCUGGGGCUAAUAUCCCCGGGUCAUGACGGUACCGUAAGAAUAAGCACCGGCUAACUACGUGCCAGCAGCCGCGGUAAUACGUAGGGUGCAAGCGUUAAUCGGAAUUACUGGGCGUAAAGCGUGCGCAGGCGGUUUUGUAAGACAGUGGUGAAAUCCCCGGGCUCAACCUGGGAACUGCCAUUGUGACUGCAAGGCUAGAGUGCGGCAGAGGGGGAUGGAAUUCCGCGUGUAGCAGUGAAAUGCGUAGAUAUGCGGAGGAACACCGAUGGCGAAGGCAAUCCCCUGGGCCUGCACUGACGCUCAUGCACGAAAGCGUGGGGAGCAAACAGGAUUAGAUACCCUGGUAGUCCACGCCCUAAACGAUGUCAACUGGUUGUUGGGUCUUAACUGACUCAGUAACGAAGCUAACGCGUGAAGUUGACCGCCUGGGGAGUACGGCCGCAAGGUUGAA